UGGGGAAUCUUGCGCAAUGGGCGAAAGCCUGACGCAGCCAUGCCGCGUGAAUGAUGAAGGUCUUAGGAUUGUAAAAUUCUUUCACCGGGGACGAUAAUGACGGUACCCGGAGAAGAAGCCCCGGCUAACUUCGUGCCAGCAGCCGCGGUAAUACGAAGGGGGCUAGCGUUGCUCGGAAUUACUGGGCGUAAAGGGAGCGUAGGCGGACUGUUUAGUCAGAGGUGAAAGCCCAGGGCUCAACCUUGGAAUUGCCUUUGAUACUGGCAGUCUUGAGUACGGAAGAGGUAUGUGGAACUCCGAGUGUAGAGGUGAAAUUCGUAGAUAUUCGGAAGAACACCAGUGGCGAAGGCGACAUACUGGUCCGUUACUGACGCUGAGGCUCGAAAGCGUGGGGAGCAAACAGG
rnacentral:rRNA from 2 species